rnacentral:rRNA from 1 species
GAUGAACGCUGGCGGCGUGCUUAACACAUGCAAGUCGAACGGGAAUUAUUUUAUUGAAACUUCGGUCGAUUUAAUUUAAUUCUAGUGGCGGACGGGUGAGUAACGCGUGGGUAACCUGCCUUAUACAGGGGGGUAACAGUCAGAAAUGGCUGCUAAUACCGCAUAAGCGCACAGAGCUGCAUGGCUCAGUGUGAAAAACUCCGGUGGUAUAAGAUGGACCCGCGUUGGAUUAGCUGGUUGGUGGGGUAACGGCCCACCAAGGCGACGAUCCAUAGCCGGCCUGAGAGGGUGAACGGCCACAUUGGGACUGAGACACGGCCCAGACUCCUACGGGAGGCAGCAGUGGGGAAUAUUGCACAAUGGGGGAAACCCUGAUGCAGCGACGCCGCGUGAAGGAAGAAGUAUCUCGGUAUGUAAACUUCUAUCAGCAGGGAAGAUAGUGACGGUACCUGACUAAGAAGCCCCGGCUAACUACGUG